AUUCUGCCCAUGCGGGGAAGGAUGAGAAGCUUCGACCAAGGUUCGACUCGAGCGCCAGCGAGAGAGCGUUGCCGCAGGCAACGACCCGAAGGGCGAAGCGCGCAGCGCUGA
rnacentral:sRNA from 1 species